GUAGCAAUACCACUAGUGGCGCACGGGUGCGUAACGCGUAACCAACCUGCCCUUGACUGGGGGAUAGCCCGCCGAAAGGCGGAUUAAUACCGCAUAAACUCACAGUGUGGCAUCACACAAUGAGUAAAGAUUUAUUGGUCAAGGAUGGGGUUGCGUGACAUUAGCUAGUUGGCGGGGUAACGGCCCACCAAGGCGACGAUGUCUAGGGGAGCUGAGAGGCUGAUCCCCCACACUGGCACUGAGAUACGGGCCAGACUCCUACGGGAGGCAGCAGUAGGGAAUAUUGGGCAAUGGGCGAGAGCCUGACCCAGCCAUGCCGCGUGCCGGAUGAAGGCCUUCUGGGUUGUAAACGGCUUUUCUCAGGGAAGAAAAAGACCAUGCGUGGUACACUGACGGUACCUGAGGAAUAAGCACCGGCUAACUCCGUGCCAGCAGCCGCGGUAAUACGGAGGGUGCAAGCGUUGUCCGGAUUUAUUGGGUUUAAAGGGUGCGUAGGUGGUUUGAUAAGUCCGGGGUGAAAGCCCACAGCUCAACUGUGGAACUGCCCUGGAUACUGUCAGACUUGAGGGUAGACGAGGUUGGCGGAAUAGAAGGUGUAGCGGUGAAAUGCAUAGAUACCUUCUAGAACCCCGAUUGCGUAGGCAGCUGACUAGGCUACACCUGACACUGAGGCACGAAAGCGUGGGGAGCGAACAGGAUUAGAUACCCUGGUAGUCCACGCCGUAAACGAUGGAUACUCGCUGGUGGCGAUAGACAGUCACUGGCUUAGCGAAAGCGGUAAGUAUCCCACCUGGGGAGUACGCUCGCAAGAGUGAAACUCAAAGGAAUUG
rnacentral:rRNA from 1 species